UGGGAUACCAGGGUGGACAGUCAGAUCUAACAUGCAGGGCUGUAUCAACAGAUGGCAGCCAGGACCUGUGAGGCGGCAGCCAGGACCAGUGAGGGGGCACCAGGACCUGUGAGGUGGCACCAGGACCUGUGAGGUGGCAGCCAGGACCUGUGAGGCAGCAGGAAAUUCUGUGAAAACUAGGCCCCACUGGUCCUCUAUCAGUAAGAUAUCCUAGAAAUCCUGCAAGUUUCAGGGGAUGGAGGAACAGGGGUGAAAGGCUACAGGUAGACAGCCUCUGGGACAGGACUACUGCAAGUCAUCUAGCCCUAUACAGGCUGCACACAGGGAAACAGAGCCACCACCUGCUCCCAGAUAGCUGCAGAGCCCUGUGGCCACCCUCGGGCAGAGUGCACAGCUCAUCACAGCAUCAUCAGGGCAGAUUCCUAGACAGGAUGGUCUACACUGUGGGCCAGACUAACCUGAACUUCCAUUACUCUUCCCACCUCAGCCUAACGAGCGCUGGCAUUACAGGAGCAAGCCAUCGCAUGUGAUUUCAGGGUACCCUGCUGGAACACCCCCAAAGUGCCCUGCUGGAACACUCAGGACCUACCAAUUAGCCCUGAUGUGGAGGAAAGCUGGGCAGUGUUCAUGCUUGCACGCAGCUCCACUCCAGCUCCUCACCCUGGACAGGAAGUUGUUCCCUGUGGGCAUCACUCUCCUGGCCCAGCUAAGACACAGGAGCCUCCAUGAGUCAACAGAAGCAAAGAAGGAACCCUAGGAGAAAGAGCCAAGAGCAGCAGGGACAGACACCACGCACUACACUGUCCUGGAUCACAGUAGAUGCUCAAGCCUUCCCCACUGACUUCAGUACAUGGAAGGGCAGUGGGCGUGCACUCUGGAAUAUAUUUCCAGAGCACUGGAUGAGUGGCAUGUGAGUGGGAGGGGCUGUGUCCUCUGGGAUUAACUCAAGCAGCGGCCUCCUUCAAAUAAAAAAUAAUGAGACUCUGCUG